UGCUGGGAGGCUGGCUGGGAAUGGGGGGUGGCUCUGAAAUGAGGGGUUGGAGGCUGGUUUUUCCCUCUUUGCAGAAAGAGGUGGAGGUCAGGAGCUGCAGGUGGGCUGGGGAGCUUUUCCUUGCAGAAGGGUCCUCAAUUAAUUUUGGAAGAGACCUGCCUGGGUUCAUUCCGUUUGGGAUGGAGGAGCUUCACGAGAUAGCUGGGGGUCUGGAGGGAGGAAGAGCUGCUGCCAGGAGGAAGGCUUUGUUGGAUCCAGGGUACCAGGAAAGAAGGGAAUGAGAAAGCAAUCACUGCGGUGGAGGUUGAAGGUUUUGGUAUGGAAAAGAUACACGAGCUUGCCUGGCCACAGAUGAAAAUAGUGGGAAGGCUGAGAUGGGUAACACAGCCUCACCCUGCCCCUCACCCUCUGAUUGUCUGCUGGGGGAUGUGGGGUGGCCCGUUGUCACCCCCUGGAGAAUUCAGGGCAGUCAGCCCUCCCCAAAAGCAGGGUAAGGGGUGGAUGGAGGACAGGAUGCUCUGCUGCAGCUUCAGCCAGCUCUAGGUGCUGGGGGGUCGUUGCCUGACGCAGCUUCAUCACGGCAAAUUUUAACCUCAUGUAGGUUUCGCAGCUCUGCUUGUGGCCCCACCUGGCAAUGGGAAAUGUGCUGACUUCAGCAGCCCCUUUCUUCCUUCUUUUAUUCUGUUUUUAAAGAAUAACUUUGUUUUCCUGUCCGGGAGCCAAAUUUCACAGGAGCAGCCUCGGCGGGGCAGCCGAGCUGAGCAGGCAGGAGCGGAUUCGCUGCGUCCACAUCCCCGUCAGCCAGCUCCUGCAGCCGUUCGGGGCAGGCACGGAGAUCGGCUACAAAGCACCGUGGCCCUCGUCCCAGGAACGGCGAGGAGAAUUUAUGAAAUGGACGUGAAAGGCAAACAGGGCCUUGGAAGUUUUCCCCAGCGUGAGAGAAGCUCUUGAAGUUUAUUCACAUAACAGCCAUCUUAUUAAAGAGUGUCUUGGAGAACUUUGAACAGCUUUCUAUAUGGAAACAAAUCUGCCUCUAUAGCAGCAGUUUUCUGUGUUUCUUUUGAUAACGAUAAUGAUCUUACAUUUCUGUGCUGCCUUUCAUCUUGCCGGAUCUUAAUGAGCUUUACAGACAAAUGUGCAAGCUAUACGCAAAGAUCAAUUCGCCCAACAAUGACACGCAGCCACGGCUGGGGUGGCUGUGGCAGGUGUUUACACAGCCCGCUGCAGAAGCAUUUCAGGCAGGAAUGGAGGGGAUUGGGUUUUGUUUUGAUUUUUGUUAUUUAUUGAAAAUGCAGGCAGCAUUUUAGAGAAGCAGAAGUUGGCAGGCUAGAAUUUGGCCGGGACAACAAAGUUGUCUCCCUGUCUUUCCUCUUGGAGCGGUUCCUCCUUUCAAUACAUAUUUCACCCUUCCCGGUGCCAGGGAAGGGAUCGCUUCCCAAUAGCUAACGCUCCUGCCUGGCAUGGAGGCGGACAGCUUCAGCGCUCCGCUAAAUAUUUAAUGCGUUUCAUAGGAGGGGGACAGUGCCAAGAGGAGAGCGCCGUGCCAGAGCGCUGAUGGCCAGCGCCCACGGUGCUCAGCUGAGCAGAGCCUGGGACAGAGCCGCAUCCAUCCCGGACACACUCAGCACCCCCUGCCCGUGGGUUUGCUCCCCUUGUUCCCACUAUUUCGCCUUAAAGCCCCAAAUGAUGCUGUGGGUACAGAGCUCCCAUCCCUGGCAGUGCCUUUCUGGCUGCCGUGGUGUUCAAGGGUAGAGGCAUCACCUUGAAGGCAGGAUGCUGCCUGUCUGGAGCCUCAUCUAUUCCCAGCCCGUCAGGCCAAAUUUAAUGUUGUGGUGAGGAGCAGUGGUCCCUGAGCUGAGCGCUUCUCCUCCCCAUCCAUCCAGGGCAUCAUUUAUCUCCUUCCCACCGCGGCGAGCCGAGGAGGCAGCCUGCACGUGAGAGGACGAGGCAGGAGCUGGGCGCAUCCGAAGUGCCCCCGGCUUCCAUUUGGAGCCAAUGUGCUGAAUAAUGAUCACAGGCCAAGGAGAAAGCUGCUGCCGUUAUUACUCAGGUGUCACUUGCAGACCUGCGUCGCCGAGGCCGGCCACCUCCUCCUCCUCCUGUUUGAGCAUCUCCUGCCAAGAAGUCUCUGCUCCUUCCCGAGCACCCAUCCUGCUGGCGCUGUGUCUGCGUGGCACACUCACUGUGAUGCCUGGGGACGUGCCACCACGGUCAGCUUGUGGCCCUGCUGGGGACGUGCCACCUCGGCAGGCUGCGGUCCCUCAGUUCACAAAUUUCUUCAAGCCACUUGUGGUUUCUGGGGAAGCGAAUUCCUUUCCUCUCCUCUGUUUCUUUUCCUUUCAGGCUGACACCCGUGAUAGCCCUUUUAUCCUCCUGUAUCUCCCUUUUCACCUUCUUGUUUUUGUUUUUGUUUUGGCUUUGGUUAAGUUAACCAUUCCUCUGCUGCUUGGAGUUUGUGCAGCCCUGCUGGCUCAGUGUGGUUUAUUUUAAUAACACUCCUUGCCAUACACUAGCUGGUUGCCUCAGCACCGCGCCCCCUGUAAGGUCUGUGCCACAACAUCCCAUAGCAGGAGCACCCCCCGGGGGGUUUCUCAGGUCGUGCCUCCCUCCCUUGCUCACUCCUGAGGAUUUCAGCUCUCUGCAGCUUGAACAAAUGCACCUGGGUUUCAACCCGGAGCAAGAUCCCCGCUGUGCAUGGUGGCAACAGACAGCAGCAGAGGGGAGCUGGGGGCACCCUGAUGGGUUUUUCCCCCGGGGUGGGGAUGCUGGCACGGCACCGUCCCCCCGUUCCUGGCGGUAAAGCUGUAAUCUCCCUCCGUCCUCAGAAACCUCCAGGAGAGAUUGAUGGAAGCCCGGGUCAGCCAUUAGUGACCGCUGCAUAAAUCACCCUCAUUAGCCCAGCUCCCUUGGCAAGGCGUGCUGAUGUAUGGGCCCGCUACGCCUGCGAAGCAUUAAAAAAUCCCGGCUGCAUACCUGGGCCAGCCGAGGAUCCCU